AUUGAACGCUGGCGGCAGGCCUAACACAUGCAAGUCGAACGAGCGGCGGACGGGUGAGUAAUGUCUGGGGAACUGCCCGAUGGAGGGGGAUAACUACUGGAAACGGUAGCUAAUACCGCAUACUAUCGGAUGUGCCCAUAUGGGAUUAGCUAGUAGGUGGGGUAACGGCUCACCUAGGCGACGAUCCCUAGCUGGUCUGAGAGGAUGACCAGCCACACUUGAACUGAGACCCGGUCCAGACUCCUACGGGAGGCAGCAGUGGGGAAUAUUGCACAAUGGGCGCAAGCCUGAUGCAGCCAUGCCGCGUGUAUGAAGAAGGCCUUCGGGUUGUAAAGUACUUUCAGCGGGGAGGCGUUACCCGCAGAAGAAGCACCGGCUAACUCCGUGCCAGCAGCCGCGGUAAUUC
rnacentral:rRNA from 1 species